rnacentral:rRNA from 1 species
UACGUAGGGUGCAAGCGUUGUCCGGAAUUAUUGGGCGUAAAGAGCUCGUAGGCGGCUUGGCAAGUCGGGUGUGAAACCUCCAGGCUCAACCUGGAGACGCCACUCGAUACUGCUAUGGCUAGAGUCCGGUAGGGGACCACGGAAUUCCUGGUGUAGCGGUGAAAUGCGCAGAUAUCAGGAAGAACACCCGUGGCUAAGGCGGCUCUCUAGUACGGUACUGACGCUGAGACGCGAAAGCGUGGGGAGCGAACAGG